GCUCGGUUGGCUCAGCUGGCAGUAGCGUGGGGCUGGUUAACCUCAAGGUCACUGGUUCGAUCCCAAUCGAGCG
rnacentral:tRNA from 1 species